GUCACCUGGGGAUCUUGUUAAAGGGCAGACUUUGAUUUGGUAGAUUGAGGAUGGGGCCUGAGAGUCUUCAUUUCUAACAAGCUCCCAGGUGACACCAA
rnacentral:pre_miRNA from 1 species